rnacentral:tRNA from 1 species
GGGGGCGUAGUUCAGUUGGUCAGAACGCCGGCCUGUCACGUCGGAGGUCGCGGGUUCGAGUCCCGUCGCUCCCG